UACGGAGGGUGCAAGCGUUAAUCGGAAUUACUGGGCGUAAAGCGUGCGCAGGCGGUUCGUUGUGUCGGCGGUGAAAGCCCCGGGCUUAACCUGGGAAUGGCCGUCGAAACUGGCGAACUGGAGUGUGGCAGAGGGGGGUGGAAUUCCGCGUGUAGCAGUGAAAUGCGUAGAGAUGCGGAGGAACACCGAUGGCGAAGGCAGCCCCCUGGGCUGACACUGACGCCUCAGGCACGAAAGCGUGGGGAGCAAACAGG
rnacentral:rRNA from 1 species